rnacentral:rRNA from 1 species
GACGAACGCUGGCGGCGUGCCUAAUACAUGCAAGUUGAGCGCUGAAGGUUGGUACUUGUACCAACUGGAUGAGCAGCGAACGGGUGAGUAACGCGUGGGGAAUCUGCCUUUGAGCGGGGGACAACAUUUGGAAACGAAUGCUAAUACCGCAUAAAAACUUUAAACACAAGUUUUAAGUUUGAAAGAUGCAAUUGCAUCACUCAAAGAUGAUCCCGCGUUGUAUUAGCUAGUUGGUGAGGUAAAGGCUCACCAAGGCGAUGAUACAUAGCCGACCUGAGAGGGUGAUCGGCCACAUUGGGACUGAGACACGGCCCAAACUCCUACGGGAGGCAGCAGUAGGGAAUCUUCGGCAAUGGACGAAAGUCUGACCGAGCAACGCCGCGUGAGUGAAGAAGGGUUUCGGAUCGUAAAACUCUGUCGGUAGAGAAGAACGUUGGUGAGAGUGGAAAGCUCAUCAAGUGACGGUAACUACCCAGAAAGGGACGGCUAACUACGUG